UAAACUCGACUGAAAAGUAACCCGGAAGUACUGAAAAUGUCUGCAAGUAAACAGUAGUCCACGUAUGUUUGCAUUAAAAAUGAAGAUACUUGGUUUUACAAGCAUUUUGUUUGGAAUUGCUGCAGCCAUUCCUCACGAGCGUUUUACAAGGAGCAUAGAUACCACAUUCUACUACAAUUAUGAUGCUUUGACAUUGUUUUUGCGUAACAUGACUGCGACAUAUCCGCAGAUUUCAAAACUUCAUUCCAUUGGUAAAAGUGUUGAAAAAAGAGAUUUGUGGGCAAUACAAAUAGGUGACAAUAUUGAUACUGUAGAGCUAGGUGAACCUAAGUUUAAGUAUGUUGGAAACAUGCAUGGAAAUGAAGUUGUCAGUCGUCAGAUUUUGAUUUAUCUAAUACAGUAUCUAUUGGAGAAUUACCAAAAAAUUGACAGAGUUACUAAACUUGUUGAUUCAGUUGAUAUAUUUAUUAUGCCAUCAAUGAAUCCAGAUGGUUUUGAAAAAGCUAAAGAGGGAGAAUGUGAUGGUGUUCGUGGAAGAUCAAAUGCAAAUAACAAAGAUCUUAAUAGGAAUUUUCCAGAUCAGUUUGAUCGGAAUACAGGUCACAGCAGACAACCAGAAACACAAGCACUUAUCAACUGGAUCGAGGGUACAAACUUUAUACUUUCUGCCAAUUUACACGGAGGAAGUGUUGUAGCAUCAUAUCCCUGGGAUGAUUCACCAUCACACAAAGCAACAGGAGUGUAUAGUAAAUCACCAGAUGACGACAUGUUCAAGCAUUUAGCUCAGACUUACUCCAACAACCAUCUCACCAUGCAUAAGACAGGGAGGAGAUGUGGAGAUCAAUUUACAGGAGGAAUAACAAAUGGUGCUCACUGGUAUGAUGUUCCAGGCGGUAUGCAAGACUAUAAUUAUCUCCAUAGUAACUGUUUUGAGAUCACAGUAGAAUUGUCAUGUUGUAAAUACCCACCACGGUCAGAACUGACGCAGGAAUGGGAAAAUAACAGAGAAGCUUUACUGUCUUACAUUGAACAGAUAAAAACUGGUGUCAGUGGGCAGAUUGUAGACAAGGAUACCAAAGAAGGAAUCCCUAAAGCAGUCAUAGCUGUAGAUGGUAUAAGACACAAUAUAACUGCUGAUGACCAUGGUUAUUUCUGGAGGCUGCUUGUAGGAGGAAAUUAUAAACUGAAGGUUCAUGCUAAUGGAUAUACAGAGUUUGAAAGUAUGAGUCUCACAGUACCGGACAAUGAUGGAAUUGAAGUCAAGUUUGAGAUGACGAAAAGAUCAGCUAAGCCAGAUUCAAGCACACCGGCUGUGAAGGAAUACACUUUGGAUAUGCUGGUCAGUAGGGUUAACAAGUUAAGAGAUGCUGCUCAUAGAGAGGCAACGUCAUUCAUCGAGCCAACGGAUUUCAAGCAUCAUAGUCAGCAGGAGCUUGAAUCGCUGUUGAGACGUUAUGCUGAUCAGUACCCACACAUUACAAGAUUGUAUGAUAUCGGUGCAUCUGUGGAAGGGAGGACACUAUGGGUGUUAGAAAUAAGUGAUAACCCAGGCAUUCACGAACCAGGAGAGCCAGAGUUCAAGUACAUAGGAAACAUGCAUGGUAAUGAGGUUGUUGGACGAGAGAUGUUGCUGUUACUGGUACAGUUGUUGUGUGAGAAUUACGGAUCUAAUGAUUUCAUCACGGGCAUGGUAAACCUUACCCGCAUACAUAUUAUGCCAACAAUGAACCCAGAUGGAUAUGCUAGGGGUACAGUUGGUGAUGUUGCUGGAGUAAGAGGACGUGCAAAUGCCCAUGGUGUUGAUCUUAAUCGUAACUUCCCUGAUCUGUUUCAAACAACAUCGAUCAACUCGCAUCAAGAAAAGGAAACUUUAGAAGUGAUGAAGUGGUUGAAGGAGUACCCAUUUGUAUUGUCAGCAAAUCUACACGGCGGAUCUUUAGUUGCCAACUAUCCCUAUGACGAUGGUUUAAAAGGAAUGGCUGCUUCCAGCAAAUGUCCCGAUGAUGAGGCAUUCAAAGAGCUGGCAGAAUCGUAUUCAUUGGCUCAUUCGACAAUGCAUCAAGGCCACCCCUGUCCUUCAACCAGUCAUGAAUACUUUCAAGAUGGAAUUACGAAUGGUGCCCAUUGGUAUAGUGUGGCUGGAGGUAUGCAAGAUUACAACUAUGUCCACACCAAUUGUUUUGAGAUCACAUUAGAGCUUGGCUGUACAAAAUACCCACAAGCAAAGGAACUUCCAAAAUUCUGGGCAGCUAACAAGUACCCACUGUUGGUUUUCAUGGGACAGGUUCAUAAAGGUGUUCGAGGUUUUAUCCUGGAUGAACAUACGGGAGGGCCUGUGGCAAAUGCCAGUAUAGAUGUAAAGGGAAUCAAUCAUACAAUACACUCUGCAGCAGAUGGUGACUACUGGAGAUUGUUAGCACCUGGCACUUAUCACAUACAAGCUUCUGGACCAGGGUAUGAGGCGAAGUCUGUUGUUGUACAUGUCAGUUUUGAUGCUGCAACAGAGGUCAAUUUCACUCUCACCAAAUCCCCUGUUCUCCAGUGGUCGAAAGAAUCGGACUACGGUAUAACAGACAAUGUUGCAAAGGCCUACUCCAAGAACAUUGAUAUACAAACUGAAUUGCGACAGCUUGCAGAUGUAAACUCUGAGAUAAUGGAGUACACUGUGAUUCAUAAGACAGGAGAGGGCUUGGUGGUGCCCGCAGUACAUCUCACCAAAAAUCUACACCUCCAUGAACAGGAUAAACCUCAUGUUCUUCUGAUAGGUGGUCUCCAUGGUGAUGACCCAGUUACUGUAGAAAUGUUGAUGCGCUUGAUCAGGCAUAUUUUACAAGGAUACUUACAGCAAGACAGAAAUAUUGUAUCAUUGUUGAAGAAAUGUCAUCUACAUAUCAUACCAGAGUUAGAUCCAUACGGAAUUGAACAUGCUCAGAUGGGAGACUGCUCUGGAGCACAGAAUAAUGGAACCUCAGAUUUUCAUAGUUUGUCUUUAGAGGAUGCUAAACUGGAUUACUUGAGAAGAGAGUUUGAAACACACAAGUUUAACUUGGUAGUCAGCUUAGCAGCUGGUGGACAGUAUAUUGUGAUUCCGUGGGAGAAUGAACUUGAUGGUUUAAUGCAGACGGAUGAUGAAGAUGUUUUCCAGGCUUUAGCCCGUUCCUUUGCUGAUUCCCUGUCUUCAGUGUACAAGCCAGAAACCUGUGGCAAGGAUUUACCUAAUGGUAUAAAGCAUGGUUCCCAGCUUAAAGGCGACAGUAAUGCAGUGCUAAUGGAUGAAGUGUAUAACAAAUACCGUUCUUUAAUGUUAUCUGUCCACCUGUCAUGUUGCAAGUUUCCAGAUGCAGACAAGCUUCCAGAGAUCUGGAUGGACUCCAUGCAGCCAUUAUUGAACUUGAUCACAAAAUCUCAACAGGGAACGUAUGGGAAGGUAACAGACGUUCAUCACAGUAUGAUACCUGAUACGAAGAUAAAGAUUGACCACCAUGUACAGAGUCACCCUGUGUUGGCGACGGGAGAGUUCUACUUCCUGAUGACUGAAGGCACACAUUUACUAGAAAUAUCAGCACCAGGUUACGAGACAUUGACACAGAGAGUGUUGGUGAACAGUGACAGUAUGACCAAUAUAUCAAUCCAGCUCACGUCGGAAAUCUCUCACAUAGACUAUCAUAAAUACGAAGAUCUGCAUAAAGUUGUCUCCAAUAUCACCACUGCUUGUAGUGAUAGAGCCAAGUUGGUCAGUUUUGGUAAGUCUACCUCUGGUAAAGACCUGUGGAUGAUUGACUUUGGCCCAGAGUCUAGUGAUGCACGCUAUGUCCCAGAGAUGUUGGUGGUCGGCAGUCUCCAUGGUGACGAGCGGGUGGGGUAUGAGAUGGCGCUGCAAUUGUCCGAACAUCUGUGUACAAAUUACAAGAAAGAUUUUAUCAUCACCAGUAUACUUGAUGAUACAAGGAUACAUAUAGUUCCAACGUUAAAUCCGGAUGGUCUGAUGAAGUCCGAGGAGGGGAAGUGUGAGGGAGGAAAAGGACAUACUAACAACAAUAACAAGGAUCUUGAUGAAACUUUCGUUUUACCAGAUUCCAACAUGACUAUGAAACCAGAGUGGGAAACCAAAUCUAUGUUAGACUGGUUAAAGGAGGCAUUUAGUCCAUCUGUAACAUUGGUUCUUCGAGGAGGUGACUUUAUGGUUCUCUACCCACAUCAUACAAAAACUGUACCUCUUGGGGAGGUUGACAGACAGAAUCUUGUUUCCCUGGGGCUUGUUUAUGCAGACAGACAUCCAGCGAUGAAUUUGAAGAAGUUCAGAUGUGGUUCUGGCAAAGGUGAGCAGACGUCAGAGCUUGGUAUAAUGGAAGCGUCAGAUUAUAACGUACAUACUGGAAGCUUUAUGGACUAUAUGUAUGAUACAUUACACAGUGCAGCUAUCUCUGUGUACAUGAGCUGCUGUAAGUAUCCGAAGCAGAGUGAACUACUGGAUCUCUGGUUGAUGAAUAGAGGAUCUCUCGUGGCAACACUUCAGCAGGCAAGAAGAGGCAUCAAGGGUGUGGUUCUAAAUGCAGGCAGAGAAUUUUUGAAAAAUGCCACUGUUUCUAUAGAAGGUUCAACUCAUCUGUAUCCAGUAGAUAAUGGUGGUAGAUUUUGGAUAUACCUGGCUCCUGGCUCAUACAAAGUCACAGUGGCGAGCCAUGGUUAUGUCACACAACACAAGACUGUAACGGUGGAAGAGGAUCUAGAGAGUACGGAGGUUAUUGUUGCAUUAGAGAAGGAGCAGCGUAUACUGGGCUAUACCAACACACUGCUUGUACUUGGAAUAGGUAUAAUAAUACUGGUACUGGUGUUUGUGAUAACUGCCAUACUGUGCCUUAGAAACAGGAAAGCGUUACCCUACUCCAAAGUUGGCUUCCGACGACUCAACGUUGAUGAAACCGAUUCCGAAGACGAAAUAUUUGGGGAUAUUUUACAGCUGAUUAAAACUAAGUUUGUAGACCAGUCCCAGAAUGAGACCUUGCCAUUGGUCAGUUUUAAACUUGUUCUUGGAAACAACCAAUCAGAUGCUGGUGUUUUGAGACUGGUCUCCAAUUCUAGUUUUAUAACAUCGGACCAUGACACAGUUAUUGGAAUUAUUGAGUCUCUGCGUUUCUUGCUACAACUUUGACUAUUAUGAAAUGGGUUGACAUUAUUAGAAAGGCUCACAUUAUGAAAUAAAAUAUUUUAUUACAAGUUUUUCAAAAAUAUUAGAGUGAAAUAUAUCUGGUAUUUUCACUGAAAGAAACUGUAAAAUGGGUAAAAUUUAGUCAAAACAUGAAAUAAAAAGAAAAUUUAUUUGUUUUACAUGUAAGAUCAAAAUGUCUUUCACUCAUGAACACCAUAUCUUACAUUUUCACAAGUGGCAAAUAUUCUAUCUGGUGUUCACUCCAGAAAGAGAUUUCAGUCUUACACUGAAACAAACAAACUGAUUAAUCAUAUUGCCCUUUACUUGGGAAAAGCUAUGAAAAAAAUGUAGUGGUAAUGUUCUGCAGUAUAGAUACUUGAUAAAAAAUAUGACAUUCAGAUAUAUUAUAACAGAUAAGCUAGAAUCUUGAAAUACUGUGGUAAUUGUCCUUGUUUAUUUCUGUGUUGUAUUGAAGACAGAGGUAGUUGAACUUCAAAGAAGAAAACCUGUAUAUAGUAUAAUGUACAUAGACUUGUUGUUAUAAGAAAUUCUGUGUGUUUUUACAUGACUCAUUGAUGUUGAGAAUUAAAACUAUGUCAGAUUUUAAGUGAAAUCAAAGAAAUGACAAUGUAGACGUGUCGAAAAAAGGGGUUUUCCGGAAAAAAAAUUGUUAUGUCUUAAGUGUUAUAAAAAAUGACAAUGUAUUAUAUCUAAACUGGGGUAUUUUGGGGGGAAAAUCAGAAGAAAAUGUUCUAAUAAUUAUUUUUUUCACCAUAUUUCAGUAGACUUGUGGCAACACAAAACAGACAAUGCUGUGAUAUUCUUGCUGUGCUAGUUUAGAACAGUUUCAUGAGAAAGCCGCUAGUUUUGCCAAUAUUUCUCUUCUGCAAUAAUUGUGAUUUCUUACAAACAUUAAUAUUAAAUAUGUGUUACUUUUUGGUUUUAGUAAAAAAUAUAAUAAUAGUAAUAACAAUUUAAACAUAAAUAAAACAUAAAUAAAAUUUAUCAUUUUAAGGUCAAAGAAAUCCAUGUUUAUUCAUUAUUUCACAGCAAAGAAAGAUUACAACUAAAAUGUGCUAAGAUGUCUAAAAAUUGUUUGCUUUUACAGGUCAUUAUUCUGAGUAAAGAUACAGCUAUUUGCAAUAUACCGUGUGAAUAUAUUUUUUUUUCAGAGACAUAGAUCUUGUAGUGAUCGAUCAGAAUGGUUGGCGUAUACUACUUAUUUCUUUUUAAGUCUUUAUAAAUAAAGAACAUUGAAUAACUUGUUUUUGAAAUUUGGAUGUUCCAACUCCACAUGUAACACUGACUACAUGUAUUGCCUUUGGACCUAUAUGAAAUAAUGCAGUCAGUCUUUGAGAACUUGAUCUUGUGUUAUGUAGUAAAUCCAUGGGCACUACUUUGCUUUAAAACGAUUGAUUAAUGCACUUCUAUAUUGAUGAUCAAAAUUUUAUUAAGAUUGUUAGAACAAGAUCAAAAUGGUCUUCCUGUAAUAUUUUGAUUACAUAAGAAGGCAGAGAGAAAUCUGGGAGACUAUAUUUCAAGAUAAAAUACAUGUGACUAGGUAGUUUAUUUCUCUAAAGUUGUAGUACUUAUCAGUAAUGCCAUACCAUAUUUGCUGCUGUCUCAGUAUUAAGUCUUCCAUAUUGAAUUGCUGUGAAAUCAAGAAGUGUGAUAAUUUCUAUAUCAUGGCAUGAAUGAAAAUUGUGAUUGUGGUAAUGACAUAAAGUGAUAAUGACAAAGAGUGAUAAUGUGGAAAUAAUAUAAAGUCAUAUACUUUCAGAUUUAUGUCAGCUGCCAGCAUCAUUUUUUAGAUGUAAAUACAUGGUAAAGCCAUUUAUUGGAAUAAUUUUCAGCAAUAAUUUUUCAUAGUGUAAAAGUUGUAAAUUCAGGGUGGCGAAUCACGUGAUCAUUGUACGUCAUAUCGCUAUUCCUGAAAAAAAUGACUUGGUGGAUUAGCGUAAAAUUGUUUUCUUUGUGGAUUAGCAUAUUCACAAAAUACACUUUUUACCUUUCACUGAUACUCUUGAUUUCGUAUUAAAUAUGUUUCAUUCGAGUAAACAGAAAACUUUGGAAGUUUACUUUGCGAAUACCACUGGAACAGGAUUUGUAUAAAAUAUAUGUCAAAAAUAACAUUUUCUUGGUGGAUAAGCCAAUGCGAUCGGGCCGAGUAGAAAAGGUUUUCCAGGGUGUUUGUAUAUUUAGCGACGAUCUAGCAUGAAACCAUUAACAUGGGAGAUAGAAUACUGUUUUCUCCUUCGCAUGCAAUAUAUUUCAUAGAAAUUGGUUGAGAAAUAAAAAACUUACAUUGAUUUGAACCGACGACUUUUGUUGAUAAUUUCUUCUUUGCGGAAUAGCGAUAUGAUGUACAACGAUCAUGUGAUUCGCCAUCCUGUAAAUUGUGUUUUAAAAAAAAGGAAAAAAAUAUAGAUAUCAGGUGUACUUUGCUUUUUACAGCAAGACUAUGAACUAGAUCUCUUUUAAUCAUUCCUCCAAUGUCAUCCUCUUUUUUUUUUAAAUCAUGGUAUUCUAAUGUUAAUCUCUGUAAUGAUACCCAUGAUUUGGAAGUAAAAACCUUUAAGUUGAGAAGUUGAAAACAAUCUGGACCUGUUUAAUUGGGUUAAAUUAGAAAUAUUACGACGGUUCCUUGCUAAUUAGUAUUGUGUGAGCGAGCUACUUGGCAAGGAAUUAUUGUAAAGUAAAUGUACUUGCUUAUUGAAAACAUGUAUGAGGUCUUAAGUUUCUCAUGUAUAUAUUAAGAAUCAGGGUACUUUUUUU
rnacentral:misc_RNA from 1 species